GCGUCAGUAGCUCAGGUGGCAGAGCAGCGGACUCUUAAUCCGCGGGUCGGGGGUUCAAAUCCUCCCUGACGCA
rnacentral:tRNA from 1 species